AUUGAACGCUGGCGGCAGGCCUAACACAUGCAAGUCGAGCGGAUGAAGGGAGCUUGCUCCUGGAUUCAGCGGCGGACGGGUGAGUAAUGCCUAGGAAUCUGCCUGGUAGUGGGGGAUAACGUCCGGAAACGGGCGCUAAUACCGCAUACGUCCUGAGGGAGAAAGUGGGGGAUCUUCGGACCGCACCCUCUCAGAUGAGCCUAGGUCGGAUUAGCUAGUUGGUGGGGUAAAGGCCUACCAAGCCGACGAUCCGUAACUGGUCUGAGAGGAUGAUCAGUCACACUGGAACUGAGACACGGUCCAGACUCCUACGGGAGGCAGCAGUGGGGAAUAUUGGACAAUGGGCGAAAGCCUGAUCCAGCCAUGCCGCGUGUGUGAAGAAGGUCUUCGGAUUGUAAAGCACUUUAAGUUGGGAGGAAGGGCAGUAAGUUAAUACCUUGCUGUUUUGACGUUACCAACAGAAUAAGCACCGGCUAACUUCGUG
rnacentral:rRNA from 1 species